UACAGAGGGGGCAAGCGUUGUUCGGAAUUACUGGGCGUAAAGGGCUCGUAGGCGGCCAACUAAGUCAUACGUGAAAUCCCCUCAGCUUAACUGGGGGAACUGCGUGUGAUACUGGAUGGCUUGGAUUUGGGAGAGGGAUGCGGAAUUCCAGGUGUAGCGGUGAAAUGCGCAGAUAUCGGGAAGAACACCGGUGGCGAAGGCGGCUCUCUGGGACGGUACUGACGCUGAGACGCGAAAGCGUGGGGAGCGAACAGGG
rnacentral:rRNA from 1 species